UUCAGCUUGGGUUUCUAGGUAACAGGCGGAGUUCCGCUGGGGUUACUAGGUAACGGGCAGAGUCUGCUGAUUUGUGACAUUACAUUCCAAAAGUUUUUGAAAUGA